rnacentral:rRNA from 1 species
UCCUACGGGAGGCAGCAAUGGGGAAUUUUGGGCAAUGGGGGAAAGCCUUAUCCAACAAUGCCGGGUGAGUUAUUAAGGCCUUAAGGGUGUAAAGGUUUUUUACCCAGGAUUAUUAUGGCCGGACUUGGAGAAUAAGACCCGGCUAAAUCCGGGCCCGCCGGCGCGGUUAUACGGAGGGAGCUAGGGUUGUUUGGAAUUAAUUGGGGUAAAGGGCAAGUUAGGGGCUUUCCAAGUCAUGGGUUAAAUUCCCGGGGUCAACCCCGGAAAUGCCCUUGUAAAUGGAUGGUUUGAAGACUGGAGAGGUGAGUGGAAUUUCGAGGGGAGAGGUUAAAUUUGUAGAUAUUUGGAAGAACACCCAGGGGGAAGGGGACUCACUGGGCAGUUAUCGACGGUUAGGUGGGAAAGGGUGGGGAGCCAACCGGGUUUGAUACCCUGGUUGGCCCCCCCGUUAACGAUUAUAACUAACUGGCCGGGCUCCUGGAGCUUGGGUGGCGCACCUAACGCA